GGGUUGUGAGGUUAAGCGACUAAGCGUACACGGUGGAUGCCCUGGCAGUCAGAGGCGAUGAAGGACGUGCUAAUCUGCGAUAAGCGUCGGUAAGGUGAUAUGAACCGUUAUAACCGGCGAUUUCCGAAUGGGGAAACCCAGUGUGAUUCGUCACACUAUCAUUAACUGAAUCCAUAGGUUAAUGAGGCGAACCGGGGGAACUGAAACAUCUAAGUACCCCGAGGAAAAGAAAUCAACCGAGAUUCCCCCAGUAGCGGCGAGCGAACGGGGAGGAGCCCAGAGCCUGAAUCAGUGUGUGUGUUAGUGGAAGCGUCUGGAAAGGCGCGCGAUACAGGGUGACAGCCCCGUACACAAAAAUGCACAUGCUGUGAGCUCGAUGAGUAGGGCGGGACACGUGGUAUCCUGUCUGAAUAUGGGGGGACCAUCCUCCAAGGCUAAAUACUCCUGACUGACCGAUAGUGAACCAGUACCGUGAGGGAAAGGCGAAAAGAACCCCGGCGAGGGGAGUGAAAAAGAACCUGAAACCGUGUACGUACAAGCAGUGGGAGCACGCUUAGGCGUGUGACUGCGUACCUUUUGUAUAAUGGGUCAGCGACUUAUAUUCUGUAGCAAGGUUAACCGAAUAGGGGAGCCGAAGGGAAACCGAGUCUUAACUGGGCGUUAAGUUGCAGGGUAUAGACCCGAAACCCGGUGAUCUAGCCAUGGGCAGGUUGAAGGUUGGGUAACACUAACUGGAGGACCGAACCGACUAAUGUUGAAAAAUUAGCGGAUGACUUGUGGCUGGGGGUGAAAGGCCAAUCAAACCGGGAGAUAGCUGGUUCUCCCCGAAAGCUAUUUAGGUAGCGCCUCGUGAAUUCAUCUCCGGGGGUAGAGCACUGUUUCGGCAAGGGGGUCAUCCCGACUUACCAACCCGAUGCAAACUGCGAAUACCGGAGAAUGUUAUCACGGGAGACACACGGCGGGUGCUAACGUCCGUCGUGAAGAGGGAAACAACCCAGACCGCCAGCUAAGGUCCCAAAGUCAUGGUUAAGUGGGAAACGAUGUGGGAAGGCCCAGACAGCCAGGAUGUUGGCUUAGAAGCAGCCAUCAUUUAAAGAAAGCGUAAUAGCUCACUGGUCGAGUCGGCCUGCGCGGAAGAUGUAACGGGGCUAAACCAUGCACCGAAGCUGCGGCAGCGACGCUUAUGCGUUGUUGGGUAGGGGAGCGUUCUGUAAGCCUGCGAAGGUGUGCUGUGAGGCAUGCUGGAGGUAUCAGAAGUGCGAAUGCUGACAUAAGUAACGAUAAAGCGGGUGAAAAGCCCGCUCGCCGGAAGACCAAGGGUUCCUGUCCAACGUUAAUCGGGGCAGGGUGAGUCGACCCCUAAGGCGAGGCCGAAAGGCGUAGUCGAUGGGAAACAGGUUAAUAUUCCUGUACUUGGUGUUACUGCGAAGGGGGGACGGAGAAGGCUAUGUUGGCCGGGCGACGGUUGUCCCGGUUUAAGCGUGUAGGCUGGUUUUCCAGGCAAAUCCGGAAAAUCAAGGCUGAGGCGUGAUGACGAGGCACUACGGUGCUGAAGCAACAAAUGCCCUGCUUCCAGGAAAAGCCUCUAAGCAUCAGGUAACAUCAAAUCGUACCCCAAACCGACACAGGUGGUCAGGUAGAGAAUACCAAGGCGCUUGAGAGAACUCGGGUGAAGGAACUAGGCAAAAUGGUGCCGUAACUUCGGGAGAAGGCACGCUGAUAUGUAGGUGAAGUCCCUCGCGGAUGGAGCUGAAAUCAGUCGAAGAUACCAGCUGGCUGCAACUGUUUAUUAAAAACACAGCACUGUGCAAACACGAAAGUGGACGUAUACGGUGUGACGCCUGCCCGGUGCCGGAAGGUUAAUUGAUGGGGUUAGCGCAAGCGAAGCUCUUGAUCGAAGCCCCGGUAAACGGCGGCCGUAACUAUAACGGUCCUAAGGUAGCGAAAUUCCUUGUCGGGUAAGUUCCGACCUGCACGAAUGGCGUAAUGAUGGCCAGGCUGUCUCCACCCGAGACUCAGUGAAAUUGAACUCGCUGUGAAGAUGCAGUGUACCCGCGGCAAGACGGAAAGACCCCGUGAACCUUUACUAUAGCUUGACACUGAACAUUGAGCCUUGAUGUGUAGGAUAGGUGGGAGGCUUUGAAGUGUGGACGCCAGUCUGCAUGGAGCCGACCUUGAAAUACCACCCUUUAAUGUUUGAUGUUCUAACGUUGACCCGUGAUCCGGGUUGCGGACAGUGUCUGGUGGGUAGUUUGACUGGGGCGGUCUCCUCCUAAAGAGUAACGGAGGAGCACGAAGGUUGGCUAAUCCUGGUCGGACAUCAGGAGGUUAGUGCAAUGGCAUAAGCCAGCUUGACUGCGAGCGUGACGGCGCGAGCAGGUGCGAAAGCAGGUCAUAGUGAUCCGGUGGUUCUG
rnacentral:rRNA from 1 species